rnacentral:rRNA from 1 species
AACGAACGCUGGCGGCAGGCCUAACACAUGCAAGUCGAACGGUAAUCUUGAUAGCAAUAUUGAGACAAGAGUGGCGUAAGGGUGCGUAACACGUAUGCAAUCUACCCGCAACAGGAGGAUAGCUCCCCGAAAGGGGAAUUAACCCUUCAUGAGAUCACGGUCAGGCAUCUGAGAGUGAUUAAAUCUGAGGAGGUUGUGGAUGAGCAUGCGUCNGAUUAGCUAGUUGGC